AGCAUAUCAAUAAGCGGAGGAAAAGAAACCAACAGGGAUUGCCCCAGUAACGGCGAGNGAAGCGGCAAGAGCUCAAAUUUGAAAGCUGGCUCCUUCGGGGUCCGCAUUGUAAUUUGCAGAGGAUGCUUCGGGAGCGGUCCCCAUCUAAGUUCCCUGGAACGGGACGUCAUAGAGGGUGAAAAUCCCGUAUGGGAUGGGGUGUCCGCGCCCGUGUGAAGCUCCUUCGACGAGUCGAGUUGUUUGGGAAUGCAGCUCUAAAUGGGUGGUAAAUUUCAUCUAAAGCUAAAUAUUGGCCGGAGACCGAUAGCGCACAAGUAGAGUGAUCGAAAGAUGAAAAGCACUUUGAAAAGAGAGUUAAAAAGCACGUGAAAUUGUUGAAAGGGAAGCGCUUGCGACCAGACUCGCUCGCGGGGUUCAGCCGGCAUUCGUGCCGGUGUACUUCCCCGCGGGCGGGCCAACGUCGGUUUGGGCGGUCGGUCAAAGGCCCUCGGAAGGUAACGCCCCCAGGGGCGUCUUAUAGCCGAGGGUGCAAUGCGACCUGCCUAGACCGAGGAACGCGCUUCGGCUCGGACGUNGGCAUAAUGGUCGUAAGCGACCCGUC
rnacentral:rRNA from 1 species